rnacentral:rRNA from 1 species
UACGUAGGGGGCAAGCGUUGUCCGGAUUUAUUGGGCGUAAAGAGCGUGUAGGCGGCCACACAGGUCUGCUGUGAAAACUCGAGGCUCAACCUCGAGCUGUCGGUGGAAACCGUGUGGCUAGAGUCCGGAAGAGGAGAGUGGAAUUCCCAGUGUAGCGGUGAAAUGCGUAGAUAUUGGGAGGAACACCAGUGGCGAAGGCGGCUCACUGGACCGGAACUGACGCUGAGGCGCGAAAGCGUGGGGAGCAAACGGG